GACGAACACUGGCGGCAUGCCUAACACAUGCAAGUCGAACGGAGCUUCUUCGGAAGCUUAGUGGCGAACGGGUGAGUAACGCGUAGGCAACCUGCCCUUUAGAUGGGGACAACAUCCCGAAAGGGGUGCUAAUACCGAAUGUGAUACAGCUAUCGCCUGACAGCUGUAUGAAAGAUGGCCUCUACAUGUAAGCUAUAGCUAAAGGAUGGGCCUGCGUUUGAUUAGCUAGUAGGUGGGGUAGCGGCUCACCUAGGCGACGAUCAGUAGCCGGUCUGAGAGGAUGAACGGCCACAUUGGGACUGAGACACGGCCCAGACUCCUACGGGAGGCAGCAGUGGGGAAUCUUCCGCAAUGGGCGAAAGCCUGACGGAGCAAUGCCGCGUGAGUGAUGAAGGGAUUCGUCCCGUAAAGCUCUUUUGUUGGUGACGAACGUGCAGGGGGUGAACAAUCUCGUGUAAUGACGGUAGCCAACGAAUAAGCCACGGCUAACUACGUGCCAGCAGCCGCCGUAA
rnacentral:rRNA from 1 species